rnacentral:misc_RNA from 1 species
GAUGAAGAACGUAGCGAAAUGCGAUACUUGGUGUGAAUUGCAGAAUCCCGUGAACCAUCGAGUCUUUGAACGCAAGUUGCGCCCGAAGCCAUUAGGCCGAGGGCACGUCUGCCUGGGCGUCACACGUCGUUGCCCCCCCAUCUACUCCUUCGGGAUUGCGGGGGGCGGAUGAUGGCCUCCCGUGCGCCUCGUCGCGCGGUUGGCAUAAAUGCCAAGUCCUCGGCGACGCACGCCACGACAAUCGGUGGUUGCGAAACCUCGGUUGCCCGUCGUGUGCGGUCGUCGCGCAUCGAGGGCUCGAAAAAAUUGCCGGGCUCCGGCUCGGCUUUCAACGCGACCCCAGGUCAGGCGGGGUUACCCGCUGAAUUUAAGCAUAUCAAUAAGCGGAGGA